UCGGCGAUCACAACUGUCUCAAAAACACACCCUCUAAGCACUAUAACAACACGUGUGAAUGUUGUCACCAAUUACAUUUUUCCAUCACAGUAUGCUUGGUACCUUGCCAAGGAGGCAACGUUUGACUUCACUGUUAAAGACAUGCCUGUCCUCAGAAAAUGGUGGUGCACAGUACUGCUUGAGAACUUCCAUCUGGAUGGGCACGGCAGAAGGUUCCCACACUUCAUGGAGGAGGCCAAACAAAUGGCGGCUGAACUACUUCCAGUCUUCAGACUGAAGCGAAAAAGAGAAGUGAAUGACGUUUCCAGUGACAGAAUACAAAUAAUAUAUUGUAUAGGCUUAAUAUUGAUUUUAACUGUUUGAUUCUUUUGACAGUGAGUUGAAGCUGAUGGCAGUCAGCAUGAAGAAGCUAUAUCUUUUGGCUUCUGUAGAUUAUUUGUUAAAUAAAUUGUGAAGAAACUUUGGUGUGGUUAUUCUUCAAUGUAUAUUUAUAUCAAAUUAUGAUGGUAUACUUUACAAAAAAAUUAAUGUGAUUCAAUCAGACAUAUUAAAACAAUUACUUAAUUCUAAUUACUUAAUUCUAAUGGUCAAUUACUCAAUGAGUAAAGUGUAUAAUACACAAUUCCAUUAAAUAAUUGUCUACACCCUAAAUCAGUUUUUUCGUCUAUAUAACGUUAAUAAAAUUAAGCUAUAAAAAAAGCUUACUGACAUGUCAUAAUAUUGUUUUAUUCUAAUGUUUUGGUCUAAUAAGUUUAAGAACGCAAAGAAAAAAUCCUGAGGUAUUUGUCUAAAUAACGUUAAACCUUUAUUAAGCUCUAAAAGUGGUUACUAACGUGUCGAAAUAUUAUUUUAUUUCUAUGUUUUGUUAAUUCAAGCGAUAAAUACGUUUACCGGUAUUUGUCUUCCGUCCAGCCACAGUACUUCUGUCCCGCCUGGGUGUUCUGUCAUGGCAGGGUGUUGUUCUCCGGGGCUGCAGUUGGAUACUAUUGGAUUUCUGUGGCAAGGAAGGCGAAAUCAUAGGAGUUGAACUUCGGUUGAGAUCUUUGAACAGAAAACUAUUAAAAAAUAUAUAUGCAUAGAUAAAACGAGUAUAGCAACGUUAGACUUGCCUGCAAAUAAAAAUAUAUGCUGCAACUCAAUACUUGGGUUUAAAGUUGCUCGUCGGACUGUAAACAAUUACACGCCGACGGAUGAGGAAUUCUAGCCCCUGAUAUCCGGCACUACCGGUGCCCCGGAUAUAUCGUCCCCAUAGGUAGCUUUCUGGUGGAAUCUGUUGUAGCGGACGUAAAUCAGUGAUCUGCACAAACGCUAAUACUCUUAUCUCGCUGAAAUCUUGAAGGAUUUACAAACGGUUUGGUUUCUUACAAACUUUAGCUUUUUCUGAGUUUUAGUAGAACAUAUAUUGAUUCAACAUAAAUAACAUGAAUACCUUCUG